ACACUGUUACACAGAACAGUUUUAAUUCCAGCAUUGACUGCGUAUGAAGUUCUAAUUGUUGGUGCAGAAACAAUGAAUAUUUUCUUGUUUUCGUGCCUUUUAGCCUGGUUACCAAAUGUCUUUACUCAAUGGGUUGAACAAACACCGACAACGACAACAAAGGAGGCAGGCGAAUCACUGACCAUCAAUUGCGUCCUAAAAGGUUCCAGCUAUGCAUUGUGUAACACGUACUGGUAUUUCACAAAAAAGGGCGCUACAAAGAAGGAGAGCUUAUCAAAUGGCGGACGAUACGCGGAAACAGUGAACAAGGCAUCAAAGUCCUUUUCUUUGCGAAUUAGUGACCUAAGAGUUGAAGACAGUGGUACAUAUCACUGUAAAGCGUAUACACACUUUUUGCAUGGCGUUGAAUGGGAGCUGAUGGACUGUGAUGACUAUUAUGAAGGAGGCGGCACCAUUCUGACUGUGAAACCUGGCAAACAACCUUCUCCACCAAUCAUCAGUCUACACUACUCUGCAACUGAAGAACAGAGGGCAAAUGGAUUUCUUCAACUGAUUUGUCUCAUCACCGGGUACUAUCCUGAAAACAUUGCAGUGACCUGGCAGAAGAACGGAAAUACCAUACGUUCUGACGUUACAACUACAUCUCCAACGAAAACAGCGACCGAUGAUUUUAGCUCGACAAGUUCGCUUAAAGUGCCCCUGCGGGAAUGGAACAGCGACUCUGUGUACAGCUGUCAAGUUUCUCAUUCUGCUACCAGUAGUAACCAGAGAAAAGAAAUUAGUUCAACAUCGGAGAUCGCUGUAUUAUUGAGGGAUCCAUUGGUUGAAGAAAUCUGGAUCAAUAAAAGUGCCAUUCUGGUUUGCGAAGUGCUUUCUACAGUUUCCAGUGGGGUAGUUAUCUCUUGGAUGGUGGAUGGAAAGGUGCGGAAUGAAGGCGUUCAAACUGAAGCAGCGAACAGAAACCAAUAUGUGACGAUCAGCCGCUUGACUAGCAGCGUGGACGAGUGGCAGAGUGGGGCGGAAUACACAUGUUCCGCAAAACAGGAUCAAUCAUCAACUGCAGUAUCAAAACGAACAAGAAUGGCAAGAGUCAAAUCAAUGAAGCCAUAUAUCCGCCUCCUGCCUCCAUCACCAGAAGAAAUUCAGAACAGCAGCUCUGCUACUCUCACAUGUUUGCUAAGAGGAUUCUAUCCUGACAAAAUAAGCAUUUUCUGGGAGAAAGACGGAGCUUCUGUGAACGUGAACAUCACCAAUUUCCCCACUGCUCUGGAACAGGACCUGACCUACAGCGCACGGAGCCUCCUCAUUUUACCUUCAGCAGAAUGGAAGAGCGGCGCAAAAUACACCUGUAUUGCCUCGCAUCCACCUUCACAGUCCACUGUGAAAAGGGUCAUCAGGAGCCCGAAAGGUGAUUGCCGUCAGACCGAUAUUGCUGUCAAUCUACUGAAACCUCCAUUCAAAGAGAUUUGGACGCAAAAGACAGCGACCAUUGUGUGCGAAAUCGUUUAUAGCAACUUAGAAAACAUCAACGUUUUCUGGCAGGUGAAUGGGGCUGAAAGAACGAAAGGAGUCAAGACAGAAAAUCCUGAUUGGAACGGAAGCAAAUUCACCAUUGUGAGCAAACUUAAAGUCAUUGCGUCAGAAUGGGACAGUGGUGCCGAAUAUGUUUGCUUGGUAGAAGACAGUGAAUUACCAACACCAAUGAAAGCGUCUCUCAAGAAGAAAAUUGACGACCAAAUGCGUCCUCCUCAGGUUUAUCUCCUGCAGCCAUCGACGGACGAGAUUGACACUGAGAAUUCAGCGACCCUGAUGUGUCUCGUCACCAGCUUUUACCCAGCUGAGAUCUACAUUGGCUGGAUGGCCAAUGACACCCUUUUGGAUGCCGGGUACCGAACCCAAGUAGAUAGCGAGGAGGGGAAUGCUUCCAACGUCGUGACCAGCAGGUUGAGAGUCUCAGCGGCGGAAUGGAACAGUGACACCACUUACUCCUGCUUAGUGGGACACCCAUCCCUCAGCCGGGAGUUAAUCAGGAGUACAAAUAAAUCUCAUGGUAUCUCUGAAAUAAUAGCGGACCCGGUAGACUAUGACAUCGAAGAAAACGAACGAGAAAAUUUCGUUGGAGAUGCCAACAGUUCAUUAUCCAUUAUGACGUUUGUCGUCCUGUUUAUUCUCAGUACGCUGUACAGCACAUUUGUAACUGUGCUUAAGGUGAACUGACCAUCACUGCUGAAAACAAUUACUUCUGAUUUCAUUGAAAGCUUGUGUACGAAGCUCCAUCAGAUGCUGAUUAGAAAUGGCAUUGAAUUGAUUUUUGCUCUCAAUCAUAUCGGCCCUUCCACGGUAUCACUUCAACGUGUAUUCUUAUGUGAUCUCAACUCAGGAAUGAGAACUACUUGCAUAUUCUUGGUCAUUAACGUUUGCCUUCACGCUUUCUUUUUUAAGUGUUGGUGUUAAAGAAACUGCUACAAGCUGAGGAAAUCACUUUUCCCCAUUUGAAUAAGCUGAAGACGAAUCUUUGAAAGUUGCCAAUUUUCGGCAACAUUUUGAAAAAAAUGAAGUGCAUCCUAUGUUACUCACCUGCUAGAGAUGUGUUCAAUACAUCUUUGAGAAAAGUAACCAGAGAAACCUUCCAAACAGGCACGCGAUCAAGUAUAGAAUUCUCACCCAAGAGCAUUAGAUAGAUAAAAAGCCUAUUAAUUUGACAGAAUGUCGAGUCAUUACUAUAGAAGAAAUAGAAAAUGCAUUUUCCAAGUCUUGGAAACAAAUCUACCAGUAUCAAUGUUUUUUCCCCACUGUUGUCAUUAAUUAUCUGACAGUGACAGCCGACAUUUCCUCUGAUCAGCAUUUCUAUUUGCGAAGUGAUAAGGCUAUCAGUGCUGAGUUUGAGCAAUCGCUUCGUUUGCUAGAACCAGCAGAGGGAACGAUUGAGAAUAUCUUCAGGAUAUUUCGAGAUACAGAGCCCAGAGAACACUUAAUCAAAAUUCUUGAGUGUAGCAUACAAUUUGAUUCCACCUUAAAAAAGUCACAGGAUUUCACAUUCUCAUAGAAAUUCAAUGGACGCUGUACGCUGCCAUUACUACCCGUAAUACCACAUAUGUGGAAAUGUGUUCAAAUAUAAUUGCUUAUUUCAAACAAUGGUUACGAAUUCCCAGAAACAUUGUUGUUAUGAGACAAUAGGCGCACUAAAGCAAUCUCAUGAAGGGCUAUUUUCAAACAGAGUUCAAAUAAUUCAUUGUCUCUCUCUACUAACAAAAACAAAGGAAGUCUAAUUGGUACCAGAUACUGUGUAACAUCACAGUUAAUAAUUAAAUGACUGAUUUCUGUGCUGUUUAUUUUGCUGCAAACCUUCCAAGUUGCAAUGAAAGUGAUUACAUGUAAGAGAAUACAUUCUGUUUUGAGUUGAUCAGAAAUUCAUUCUUGAAAUUAAUGAGCCAUUCAAACCCUUGUAAGCUCUUUUGCUUGCACAGUACCUUCACUCUAUUCCCACAUGUGUUUUCAAGUCUUUGAGUUAAUUUUAUUGACAAGACAGCAAUUCUUAUGAUUUUCAAAAUAAAGAAAGUGUCAGAAACAGUUGAAACUGUUCUACAUUUGUGCAAACUGUAGAAAUGAAAUGCUGCCAAGAAUAGAUGUCACUGUUGUAAUAUAAUUUAGCUAUUGCCUUCAUAUUCUGUUAAGGCAUUGGUGUGAAAUAUCUACUCCAUAUUGCCAAUCAUUUAUAUGUUGUUGAAAUCCUGACCUUCAAUCUAACAUGUUUUCAAAAUGUAAUGUUAUUCAGUCCGUUCCACUGAUUACGUCAGUAUUCACAUAUGUUCGCCUCAUAAAUGAUUUUCCUUUUGCAAAUAAAAUCAGUUUUUAAUUA